UAAAUUUUUUUUUAAAACCUAUUUUUAUUUCUACUCUCUCAUUCUUCUUCCUGUAGCUUAUGAGCUCCGUGGUUAUGUACCUCUUUGGUUUGAAAAAUUGAAAGUUUGAAGGCUCUGCUCUCUCUCUCUCUCUGAGAUUAGCUCAUGAUGAUUGCAAUUCCAUAUCUAACAGCUUUAUUGACCUAAUUCAACUAUGGCCUCCUCUUCUUCUUCAGCAAAAUUAGGGAUUUCUUCUGCAAACUCAUCGAUUGGUCUUAUGCUAGUAAUCUCCAUGGUUAUGCACUUCUUUUCUUGGGACUCGAGGAUUUCUACACUCGUCGUCUCCAUCUUCGUAUUCAGGUAAAGGCAAGGGCAAGGUGGACCAGUCCUGAGUUGGAGAGCUCUGGGGCAGAAUGUACAUAGUCAGCUGAUCGGUCGCCACGGCCGAGGGAUGGUACAAGGACAGGAGAACCUAAAAUGCCUAUUUUGCCAUUAGAGUGGCUUGUGGUUGUACAUAAACUUUGAAAUUUUGUAAAGGGAUAAUUGCGGCAUUAAUGCCUAUGUAGUUCAGUUUAUUGCACUUAAAUGCCUAUGUAAAAUUUUUUACGGCAAUAAUGCCUACCGUUACGAUUUUAGAGCAGCCGUUGGUCCCUGGGCCGUUAGGGGUAUAUUUGAUACACGUGUCACGACCCGAUUGGGUUAAAUUAUUAAAAUUUAAAAACAAAAACAAUUAAUGGUUCAGGUUUCUAAUUAAAAACAAAAAAAAAAACUAACCUUCAUUAAUUAAUUUAACAAGAAAAACCGAUUGUCUAAAACCAAGUUCUAAAACUAAUCUAAAACAAAAAAAACUCAAAACUCCAUACCCAGAAAAACGAUGAAGAUGAAGUUUCCCCCCGACCACACCCAGACGAUCCACCCCCGACAGUGUAGCACGUGAACCCAGUAGAAGAAAACUUGUAAUUCCUUCGAAUUGGGGGUUAGGGCAUCUUUUGCAUCGGGUUAAUGGAGAACGGAAAAAAUUGCCAUUGUCGACCACCAAGGCCAGUGGUAGAAAAAACGGCUUGGACAAACAAAAAUCCUGGGCGAAGAUUCAGAACAUGCAACAAGUAUCGGAUUCAUGGUGGGUGUAAUUUCUUUGAAUGGAUAGACCCUCCAAUGUGCCAUCGAGCAAAGGUGGUCAUCCCUGGACUACUAAGAAAAAUUGGUGACCUUGAAACUGAAAUCACAUCCCUAAGUACGACAACUGACAUUGGAAGUCAUCGGCAAUGCAGUGGUUCUUCAAAUGGAUUUGAGACACAAUCUCACAACCUUCAAAAUGUUGGAAGAGAAAGCUGUGAAAGUUGUGCUGAAAGCAGGGGUAGAGUAAAUGAUGGAGGUCGAAUGCAGUGUUACUACUUUUUGAAUACUAUGUAUUUUGCUGUAAUUCUAUUGGUUGUGGUUAUUUGGGCUACAAAAUCAAAGUAGAAGUUGUUGGCAUUGAUUUGUAAUGAAUUUU